UGUACGUCCUCCUCUUUCUCUCUCCUCUCCGUCCUCCUCAUCAUCUCCCUCCUCUUGCUCCUCUCCUCCGUCGGCCACUGCAAGACCGUCUUCAUCUCCUACUACACCACCACCAUCACCACCUCGACCGCCAUGUCAUCCCUCUCUAACCACCACAUGGGCCCCACCUCCCGCUUCUACGCCCAUGACCCAAAACCUCCUUUUCUUUUCCCUUGAAGCGGAACGAAGACUUCUAAACCGCCAUUGACUCUCAAAUCUCUCUCUCAAGGCUCCAAAUUUCCCUUUUUCCUUCUAUUUUCGACAUAAAAUUUUAAUCUUUUUUCCUAACAAUUCGGUUUUCUUCUGAAUCCAAGAGUAAAGAUGCAGAACGAAGAGGGAACCAUCGUCGAUCUCUACAUCCCAAGAAAAUGACAUGAAUAUAACAUUCUUUGAUUGAUUUCUUUUGAUUUAGGGUUUCAUUUGUUGAUUGUUUUUUGUUUUUUUUUCAAUUUUACUCAGUUCUGCGACGAAUCGAUUGAUUACUGCAAAGGAUCGUGCCGCGGUCUAGAUUUUGAUGAAUGGUUUGAAUUUUGUUGGAUUGCAGAUGGUUAUGAUGUUAAUGAGAGAUUGAUUUGAAGCUGAAAUUGUGUCUAAAGAUUUUGGUUCGAGAGAUGAUGAGUUAUGAAGCUAAUAAUCUCAUUCUAGGGAUCAAAAAGAAUUGUCGAGGCAUUAGGUCUUCAUGUACCUCGAUCACGAAGUACUGUUCGAAGAAACUGCCGAAGGAUUGCUCGGUUCUCACACUGAGCAAUGGCAAGAUUGUAUUCCAGAGAGAAUCCACAGGUUUAGUUUGAUCUGGUUUGAUACAUUAAGUUUAGCUUUUGUUGAUUGUCUACAAUCUAUGAAAUGAAACCAUAUUUUUGUUAC